rnacentral:rRNA from 1 species
GUCGAGUGGCGCACGGGUGAGUAACGCGUGGGAAUCUGCCCUGUGGUACGGAAUAACACCGGGAAACUGGUGCUAAUACCGUAUAUCCCCUGAGGGGGAAAGAUUUAUCGCCAUGGGAGGAGCCCGCGUAGGAUUAGCUAGUUGGUGGGGUAACGGCCUACCAAGGCGACGAUCCUUAGCUGGUCUGAGAGGAUGAUCGGCCACACUGGGACUGAGACACGGCCCAGACUCCUACGGGAGGCAGCAGUGGGGAAUAUUGGACAAUGGGGGAAACCCUGAUCCAGCCAUGCCGCGUGUGUGAUGAAGGCCUUCGGGUUGUAAAGCACUUUCGCACGUGAAGAUGAUGACGGUAACGUGAGAAGAAGCCCCGGCUAACUUCGUGCCAGCACC